CCUCUGUCCCCUAGCCUCUGUCCCUCUGUCCCCUAGCCUCUCUCCCUUCUCCCUCCCUCCCACAGCCCCUAUCUCCCCUGUCCCCUAGCCUCUGUCCCUAUCUCCUCUGUCCCCUAGCCUCUCUCCCCUUCUCCCUCCCUCCCACAGCCCCUAUCUCCCCUUAGCCUCUCCCCUAUCUCCCCCUGUCCCCUAGCCUCUCUCCCCUUCUCCCUCCCUCCCACAGCCCCUAUCUCCUUCCCCUGUCCCUAGCCUCUGUCCCUAUCUCCCCUCCUCUGUCCCCCUCUCUCCCCUUCUCCCUCCCUCCCACAGCCCCUAUCUCCCCCUGUCCCCUAGCCUCUUUCCCCUAUCUCACUCCUCUCCCCAAGCCCUCCCCCGGCCCCUCCCCCUCUCCCCCAGCCCCUCCCCAUCUCUCCC
ensembl:lncRNA